rnacentral:sRNA from 1 species
UGACUUGUUGCACUUGACUUCCUCCCGU